rnacentral:rRNA from 1 species
GAUGAACGCUGGCGGCGUGCCUAAUACAUGCAAGUCGAGCGAACAGACGAGGAGCUUGCUCCUCUGACGUUAGCGGCGGACGGGUGAGUAACACGUGGAUAACCUACCUAUAAGACUGGGAUAACUUCGGGAAACCGGAGCUAAUACCGGAUAAUAUAUUGAACCGCAUGGUUCAAUAGUGAAAGACGGUUUUGCUGUCACUUAUAGAUGGAUCCGCGCCGCAUUAGCUAGUUGGUAAGGUAACGGCUUACCAAGGCGACGAUGCGUAGCCGACCUGAGAGGGUGAUCGGCCACACUGGAACUGAGACACGGUCCAGACUCCUACGGGAGGCAGCAGUAGGGAAUCUUCCGCAAUGGGCGAAAGCCUGACAGAGCAACGCCGCGUGAGUGAUGAAGGUCUUCGGAUCGUAAAACUCUGUUAUUAGGGAAGAACAAAUGUGUAAGUAACUAUGCACGUCUUGACGGUACCUAAGCAGAAAGCCACGGCUAACUACGU